rnacentral:rRNA from 1 species
GACGAACGCUGGCGGCGUGCUUAACACAUGCAAGUCGAACGGUGAACCCGCUUCGGUGGGGGAUCAGUGGCGAACGGGUGAGUAACACGUGGGCAACCUGCCCCCGGCUCUGGGAUAACUCCAAGAAAUUGGGGCUAAUACCGGAUAUGACCGCUGGCCGCAUGGUCUGGGGGUGGAAAGAUUUAUCGGCUGGGGAUGGGCCCGCGGCCUAUCAGCUUGUUGGUGGGGUAGUGGCCUACCAAGGCGACGACGGGUAGCCGGCCUGAGAGGGUGACCGGCCACACUGGGACUGAGACACGGCCCAGACUCCUACGGGAGGCAGCAGUGGGGAAUAUUGCGCAAUGGGCGGAAGCCUGACGCAGCGACGCCGCGUGGGGGAUGACGGCCUUCGGGUUGUAAACCUCUUUCAGCAGGGACGAAGCCGCGAGGUGACGGUACCUGCAGAAGAAGCACCGGCCAACUACGUGCCAGCCGCCGCCGUAACAC